CUACGGGGCGCUGUAGUGAGGAAUAUUGCACAAUGGGGGGAACCCUGAUGCAGCAACGCCGCGUGGAGGAUGACGCAUUUCGGUGUGUAAACUCCUUUUAUAUGUCAAGAAAAUGACGGUAGCAUAUGAAUAAGCACCGGCUAACUCCGUGCCAGCAACCGCGGUAAUACGGAGGGUGCAAGCGUUACUCGGAAUCACUGGGCGUAAAGGACGCGUAGGCGGGUUGGAAAGUCAGGUGUGAAAUCCUACAGCUUAACUGUAGAACUGCACUUGAAACUUCUAAUCUAGAGUAUGGGAGGGGGAGAUGGAAUUAGUGGUGUAGGGGUAAAAUCCGUAGAUAUCACUAGGAAUACCUAAAGCGAAGGCGAUCUCCUGGAACAUUACUGACGCUAAGGCGUGAAAGCGUGGGGAGCAAACAGGAUUAGAUACCCGGGUAGUC
rnacentral:rRNA from 1 species